CACCGGCGAGCGGGCGGCCGAGGGCGCGGAGCGGCGAGCCCGGCGUGCCCGCGGCGAUGGAGCAGGACAAGUACCUGCCCGAGCUGAUGGCCGAGAAGGACAGCCUGGAUCCCUGCUUUGUUCACGCGAUGCGCCUCCUGGAAGACGAAAUGGAAAAAUUUCAGGGUUCAGAAGGCAAGAAGGAAGAUGAAGAAAAGAAAUAUCUUGAUGUUAUCAGCAACAAAAACAUAAAGCUGUCAGAGAGAGUUCUGAUCCCUGUCAAACAAUAUCCAAAGUUCAAUUUUGUUGGGAAAUUGCUUGGACCAAGAGGAAACUCUUUAAAGAGGUUACAAGAAGAAACAGGUGCAAAAAUGUCCAUCCUGGGAAAAGGAUCCAUGAGGGAUAAAGCUAAGGAGGAAGAACUAAGGAAAAGUGGAGAAGCCAAAUAUGCACACUUGAGUGAUGAGCUCCACGUAUUAAUUGAAGUGUUUGCUCCACCUGGGGAGGCGUAUUCUCGUAUGAGUCAUGCCUUGGAAGAAAUAAAAAAAUUCCUGGUUCCUGAUUAUAAUGAUGAAAUUCGCCAGGAGCAGCUGAGAGAACUUUCGUAUUUGAACGGUUCUGAGGAUUCAUCACGUGGACGGGGCAUUCGAGGAAGAGGGAUCCGUGUGCCACCUGCAGCUCCUUCAAGGGGACGUGGGGGUGCCAUUCCUCCCCCGCUGCCUGGACGAGGUGCCCAAGCACCCCGAGGAGCGCCGGUGACACGCGGCGCGCUCCCUGUGCCACCGGUGGCCAGGGGCGUCCCCACGCCUCGCGCCAGGGGCGCCCCGUCCGUGCCGGGUUACCGACCGCCCCCGCCGCCCGCACACGAGGCCUACGAGGACUAUGGAUACGAUGAUGGAUAUGGGGGUGAAUAUGAUGAUCCAAGCUAUGAGGCAUAUGAUAACAGUUACGCCACCCAAACACAAAGUGUGCCUGAAUAUUAUGACUAUGGUCACGGAACAAGUGAAGAGGCUUAUGACAGCUACGCACAAGAAGAAUGGGCCACGACCCGUUCCAGCCUAAAGGCACCACCUCCAAGGUCAGCCAGAGGGGGAUACAGGGAACACCCCUAUGGUAGAUAUUGAAGGUCCUCCUCAUCUGUGACCUCAUCUCAAAGACAAUUAAUAGCCUGUGGUCUCCACAUAAACAGCAACAAGACAAGGACUCACAGGCACUGGACAGCUAAGCAGCAGAUCUGCUGGGAAGUGGUCAGAUUUUUGGAGCCCUAGGGAAGUACUAUACCUUUUGAAUGGUGUUCAGGGAAUUGAGAGUCCUCAACAUCAUUUGCAAUAAAUCACUUGCUUCUGAAGGACAGCCUCGGGUUGGGACUCUCCACAGCCCUGAGUUCUGGACCUACCAUUACCACCCUCUCUAGGAUAUGCCACCACUCAGACUUACAAUGAUCUUCCAGUCUAUAAGGUACAGAGUACUUCAUUAUGUGCAUGAACAGAAAUGCUUAAAUGGAUGAAGCAGCUAUUUACGUCUGAUAGGAGCUAAGUGGGACAUUAAAUUAAUGCCAAACAAAGCUCGUCGUGGAAAGACAAAUUCACACUCUGCAUGAUGAAAUUAGCAGCAGAUGCAUUAAUAAUUGAAUAAGGAUCUCUGGAGACACACCACAGCUCAGAAAGAGAGUUGUUGACUGGCUGGUUUAAGUAGAGGCUUCUGUUCUUAUAUAUAUGCACUUACAUAAGCCAUGAGUUAAGAGCUGCUGCCUGUAAGUAGCCUUUGAUAUCAAAUCCACUUCCUGCUCUUGGAAGACUUUGCAUACUUACAUUUGACAGGUCCACAGGCAGACUGACACCAUUAAUCUGGGCAAAGUGUGGCUUUGCUCAUUCCCCCUUCUCUCUGACUGUUCUUAAACUUCAAGGCAAACUGAAUGCAGUUUCUUUAGAAAUCAUCUCCAGACAAUGAGUGGGAUAUGAGUGACUGGAAGACUUUCACUGUAUGCCAGACCCUUGUCAUGGACCUCCAUUUCUGUAGGGUUGAAAGUUUCCUGAAGUGCUAAUCCCAGCUUCUCUCACAGAAGGAUUAGGAUACUGCCAUCUUCCUUUCCAGCAAACGUGAUGUUCUUUGAUUUAUCCGCAUGCCCAGGUUUGAGAGGAAAGGAAUUUCACAGAAUCACAAAGAGACCACAGUAAGUCAUCUGAUCCCACUUCUCUCCUCAAGAAGGCCCAUCCUAGAGCACAUUGCACAGCCUUGUGUCCAGACAAUUCUUUAAUAUCUCCAGUGAGGGAAACUCCACAACCUCUCUGGACUAUCUGUUCCAGUGCUCAGUCACUGCAAAAAGUUUAAAGAAGUUCCUCCUCAUAUUCAGGUGGAAUUUCCUAUGCCUCAGUUUCUGACCAUUGUGUCUUGUCAUAUUGCUCGGCACCACUGAGCACAGCCUGGAAACAUCUUCUUGACACCCUCCCUUCAGAUGCUGAUAGACAUUGAUGAGGUCCCCUCUCAGUCACCUCUUCUCGAGGCUCAAUUGGCCCAGCUCCCUCAGCCUUUCCUUGUAAGAGAGAUGCUCCAAUCCCUUAAUCAUCUUUGUUCCCCUCCACUGGCCCUGCUCCAGGAGCUCCAUGUCUCUGCUGUCCUGAGGAGCCCAGAACUGGACACAGCACUCCAGAUGUGGCCUCACCAGGGCUGAGUAGAAGGGCAGGAUCCCCUCCCCUCAACCUGCUGGCAAGUGCUCUUCUGGGCCACAAGAGUACACUGCCAGCUCUAUUUGUGUCUUUUGGACAAUAGCAAAGAAAGCAAGAGGAUUGCCAGAAAAAUAACUCUGCUUUUUAAAGAUACUACCAACUCUUGGAUGUAAUUUUUAAUAGUUACUUUGCAAUCACACCAAAUAAUAUUAUGCUCAGAAGAUAUUGACAAAAUAGUGUGAGAUUUCAUCCACAGCAAUACUAUUGGAGCAAAUGCUUCUGGGUUUAAAAUCAGAACUUUAUUGCACUAUUGCCAAGAGAGUGAUAGUAAUUUGAAUAGUCUUAAAAUUUGUUCCAGAUUGAAGAAAGCCAAGAUUUAGCACAGUGUUACUAGAUUAACUCCACAGAAUUCUCCUAACUAUGCACGCAAACUUCAGUCACUGGUUUUGAGCACAGGUUGAAUUUACUUCUGUGAUUUGCUUUCCUCCAGGUUUUUUUAUAAAAAUCUCAGGAUCUGUAAUAGAAACUUACCUUCAAAUUAUCUAUCAGUGUAUUUUCUGGA